AGCGUUAUUUAGAACAAUCCUCUUCUCAAAUUCUGGACCAUUCUUCGCCACAAACUGUGCAGUCUUGUCGACAAUACUCCUAAUAUCUGGAGGCGGAUAAAUGAUACCAAUGGUUCUCGUAUGUGUUGCAACAGAUGUUGGAACAUUGUUGGCUUUAUUGUUGUCCUCUUCAUUUUCCUCCAUGUUAUCAUCCUUUGGUUCCUUGAGGAAAUGGUUCUAGACGUUGGAACAUUAUUGGCUUUAUUGCUGUCCUCUUCAUUUUCCUCCAUGUUAUCAUCCUUUGGUUCCUCUACCACCUGCGCCGGAGGUGUUGGUCCAAGAUUCCCAUCCAACGGGGGCGCUGGAAGGGGUAAU
rnacentral:lncRNA from 1 species